UGGGGAAUUUUGGACAAUGGGCGAAAGCCUGAUCCAGCAAUGCCGCGUGUGUGAAGAAGGCCUUCGGGUUGUAAAGCACUUUUGUCCGGAAAGAAAUCCUCUGGGUUAAUACCUCGGGGGAUGACGGUACCGGAAGAGUAAGCACCGGCUAACUACGUGCCAGCAGCCGCGGUAAUACGUAGGGUGCAAGCGUUAAUCGGAAUUACUGGGCGUAAAGCGUGCGCAGGCGGUUUUGUAAGACGGAUGUGAAAUCCCCGGGCUUAACCUGGGAACUGCAUUCGUGACUGCAAGGCUAGAGUAUGGCAGAGGGGGGUAGAAUUCCACGUGUAGCAGUGAAAUGCGUAGAGAUGUGGAGGAAUACCGAUGGCGAAGGCAGCCCCCUGGGCCAAUACUGACGCUCAUGCACGAAAGCGUGGGGAGCAAACAGGAUUAGAUACCCUGGUAGUCCACGCCCUAAACGAUGUCAACUAGUUGUUGGGGAUUCAUUUCCUUAGUAACGUAGCUAACGCGUGAAGUUGACCGCCUGGGGAGUACGGUCGCAAGAUUAAAAGC
rnacentral:rRNA from 1 species